rnacentral:snRNA from 1 species
UAACUCUGGUCUCUCCUCAUUUGCGGAUAAAUCUUUCGCUUUUCACUAAAGAUUUCCGUGGGAAGGCACACUACAAUGAGUCUUGCCUCAUUUUAUUCAGCUCUGUCUUCAGAUGGAGC